CUUGUGUGUGUCUCUUAUGAUGGAGAGCUGCUGAUCUCGGGCAGAUGCCACUGCUGAGCACUGAUCCUGCUGUUCUCUCAGCCGGCCACAGGAGGACUGGUGUUGUGUUUGCAUUCUCUGCUGUUCUCUGGCUUCACUUCAAACACACUGAAGAACCUGGGACUCCUGCUCCACACUUUGAAACCGCACCAAAUGUAAACGACCUGACCUCCCGCUGCUAUGCAAUCUCUGCAGCUAUGAGACAAACAGCAAAACAGGAGUCAAAG